AGUCCCUUCCCGCCUCAGACCUGCACCCACGCAGCCCUGCCAGUGGGUGUGUGGUAAGAAGGAAGGAGAGAACAGGCAGAAAAGAGGCUGAGGGAGGCUGGGCAGUCAGCGAGGAGAUCAGGAAGACGGUGGCCACAGACCAGUGUGCCUGUCUGGGCAGGACUGGAGGCAUGCCCGUCGGGCCAGCUAGGCGGUGGGAGGCUGACCAGGGUCACAUGACCAGGUGGCGUGCUGGAACCGGCGCUCGUGCUGAUUGUGCGAGUGGCCCCAGUGUGGCUGCUGUGUGCACUGAUCCUUCCCCUCUGAGGUGCACAUGACCCUGACGGGGUCACUGUGAAGGUCAGGUCUAAUAGCCAAAAUGUGCAGAGGAAACGAGCCUCUGCUCUGUCCUCCACACUCAUUGUCCCCAUUUUGUGGCUGAAGCGGUAAACAGCCUCACUUCUCUUCAGAAUACACGGGGCUCCUGGUGCUUUACAAGACAGCCACCGUGCUCUUUGUCAGUUUUAUAAUAUGUACAUGUCCCUCCCCAACAUCUCCUUUCUUAAAAAAAAUAAAAUAAAAGAAAGAAAGAAAAUCAGGGGCCCUUCCCUCCGGUUGUGGAGCAUCAUUUCUACCCCAUAAUGAGACAGACAGUGGGGUCCUCCCUAGGAGCAAUGUACUGAAGGGGUGAGGUGGCCAGCGCUGGGACACCCCUCUGCACAGCUGCACUCUGGUGUCCCAUCGAGGACAGAAGGAACAUUGAGGACAGCUGGAGGGCACGGUUGACAAUGAGGGGAGAAUUCUUCCCACCAGGUUGGGAUCAAUGUGCCACAGUUUAAAGAGAUUUUUGUUUUCUCCCCAAAUAGUCAGCAGUCAGAUUGAAUUGAAUUUCAAAUUUCUCCCAUGGAGACAGCUCCAGAGCGGUCUCCACCGAUCCUCCAGGCCUGAGGGCAGAGCCCUGCUCUCCUCCUGCAGCCUGCCCAGCUGGUUAGCCUAGAGGUGUCUGCCGCUGGGUGACUUCUCUGUCUGGGGACGACGUCACACAGGAGGCGCUGGUCCCUGGCUACCCUGGAAAACCUGGACCUUUUCUGAGCCACUAAGAGGGAGAGAUCAAAAGUGGCUCUGGCCGCCGACCGACCGGACCCUCUCCGGGAACGUCUCCGACAGAGUCUCUCCGAAGGGUCCCAUCUGGCUCGUCGUCGUCAUCGUCCUCUUCCAGCUCUUCCUCAGUUUCCUCCGUCGCCUUUCGGGAACAAUUCGUCGGGGACAGCGGCUCCCCAGCUCCGGCAGCGGCCAAGGUCGUGUGUCUGUCCAUUUUAAAGUCUUUGAAGUGACCACUUAAUGACUCUGAUCAAAUCGACAACAGUCAUUGUAAGUUGACACUGUGUCUGUGAGUCAAGCUGGGCUGCCAUCCGAGUGCCAUGUCCGCCGUGUAGCUCGUCCCUAAGUGUAAGGUCGCUCAGGCCUAGCACGGGCAAGGUGACCCAAAGUGCUUUCUUUCACACAAUGUGCAUUGUAUUUGGACCUUCAGCACAUCAAAUAGUCAAUAAAACUUUUGGCAUUUCUGCCACUUUCAUUCGGUACCAUUAAGAUGGACAGAAACUUACCAGUUGGGAAGUCCACCAUUAAAACCUGUUGAGUACCUGUUUGCUCUGCGUGUUAGAUAUUAUGAUAUUAGAUGCACUUGUACAUGAUGCAAUUGAUCUAUUUGUGGUCAUUAGCACUGUUUCCUAAUCUUAUUAGAGAUCUAAAGCUAUUCUUUGAUUUUUUUUUUCAAUUUUGUUAGUCUUCAUAGUCCUGUUAAAGGCAGAAUCUCACAGUUAUAGUUCUCCUACUGAGCUAUGGAUUCUAAAUUUUGCUUCGAAAGUAAAAGCUAAAUCAAUACAUAAAGGACUUCUGUGUA